rnacentral:rRNA from 1 species
CGUGGAGACAGGUGGUGCAUGGCUGUCGUCAGCUCGUGUCGUGAGAUGUUGGGUUAAGUCCCGCAACGAGCGCAACCCUCACCCCUUGUUGCCAUCAGGUCAUGCUGGGCACUCUAGAGGAACUGCCCCGGUCAACGGGGAGGAAGGCGGGGAUGACGUCAAGUCAUCAUGCCCCUUACGUCCUGGGCUACACACGUGCUACAAUGGCCGGUACAAAGGGAUGCCACACCGCGAGGUAGAGCUAAACCCAAAAAGCCGGUCUAAGUUCAGAUUGGAGUCUGCAACUCGACUCCAUGAAGGAGGAAUCGCUAGUAAUCGCGUAUCAGCACGACGCGGUGAAUACGUUCCCGGGCCUUGUACACACCGCCCGUCACACCACGAAAGCCUGCUGUACUCGAAGUCGCUGAG